GAGGAUGAAGACUCACCAAAAGCAUCAGGACAGAACUUCACCAUCACUGACUUCAGAGCUGAACACAGUGGGAAUUAUUACUGUGAAGCCCAGAACAUAAGAGGAAGUCAUAGGAACACCUUACAUCUGACUGUUGUGGCAGGAACUUCAUCAGUAAUAACGAACAUCAUCAGGUCGACUCUGGUGGUCUUCAUGUUGAUCCUUCUUCUUCUUCUCCUGAGUCUGUGGAUGAGGAAGAAGAAAACUCUGAGCUCCACCACUGAAGCACAUGAACCUGUAGAGACGAUAGAGCUGCAGGUGAACCAGAGGCGGGACUCACCUGAUGGAAACAAAGCAGGACGACACUGAAGUAUCAGAGUGGAGAGCGAGGCUGUGGAGGAGGUGGACACAUUUACCUUCACCUCCAACAGUUUUCAUGUUCAGGUUUCAGCAGCAGCAGCAGCAGCACAGACAGUCAGUAACAGUCAGUAACAGCAUGUGGCAGAAAGUUCAGAAGAAUGUGGCAGCUUGAACUGAAUCCUGUCCAGGUGUCAAACAUGAUUUAUUGAUCAGAUCAGCUGAUGAUCAGGUGGUGUGUGACUGACUGACUUAUAACUUCCUGCUUAAAGCAUGUAAGCUUAUUUUUGCCUGUAGAGUUUGUCAUAUCAGAGAAAUUUUGACUGUAGAUGUCAUGAGAAAUGUUCACUUGAAAUGAAAAAACAUAAUAAAUAAGUUUAGAAAAACCCUGAUGAGCCUGUGGGUUUGCACCCGUCCUGGCUGACAAAGCCAAUAACGUCUGUUCAAACACUGACAGAUAUAAAGAUGGACGACGCGUUUUAACUUCCUCCCACUGCAGAAAAGUCAAAUCUGCUGGAUACGAGUGCUGCCAUCUUGUGCUGAUGGGGUCAUCCACAGUCUGCGACUGCGCAGUCGUGAUCGGGUGGCGGAGCCGCUGGUUGGAGUUCCCGUCCAUCCACCCGCCUGAAUGAAUUUCAAGCAGCACUCAGCUGUCAGUCGUGACGUUUCACCUCCUUUUU